GUGGGGAAUCUUGCGCAAUGGGCGAAAGCCUGACGCAGCCAUGCCGCGUGGAUGAUGAAGGUCUUAGGAUUGUAAAUUCCUUUCACCGGUGAAGAUAAUGACUGUAGCCGGAGAAGAAGCCCCGGCUAACUUCGUGCCAGCAGCCGCGGUAAUACGAAGGGGGCUAGCGUUGCUCGGAAUUACUGGGCGUAAAGGGAGCGUAGGCGGACAUUUAAGUCAGGGGUGAAAUCCCGAGGCUCAACGUCGGAACUGCCUUUGAUACUGGGUGUCUUGAGUGUGAGAGAGGUGAGUGGAACUCCGAGUGUAGAGGUGAAAUUCGUAGAUAUUCGGAAGAACACCAGUGGCGAAGGCGACUCACUGGCUCAUUACUGACGCUGAGGCUCGAAAGCGUGGGGAGCAAACAGGAUUAGAUACCCUGGUAGUCC
rnacentral:rRNA from 1 species